AUCGCUUCUCGGCCUUUUGGCUAAGAUCAAGUGUAGUCCAGAUGGGAUCCUGGACCAUAAAAAGGACACGAGGCUACAAAUAAGGACAUCUGAAUAAAAUAUAAACUUCAGCUAAUAAUAAUUUAUCAGAUUGGUUCAUUAUUUGUAUCAAAUUUAUCAUUGUAAUGUACAAUGUUAACGAUAGGAGAAACUCGGU